CCAGUAUAUUUCUAGCAGAAGAAGAGAGAGUUGGCAGCCAAGAACGGAAAUUCAGAUAAGAGUUUAAAAUAGGGUUUUUGGAGGCAUCCACCCUUGGAUCGUUUUAACGCUUCUCCCCGCCCUCCCCUCCCCUCCCCUCCCCUCCCCUGUUUGUUUCACGCAGUUCAGCUGAGUUGAUAGUUGGGGGGUGGAUAACAUACAGAUAUCUCUGAUUCUAUUCCGUCCUCAUUUUCUAAACCCUCCCUCGCUUAUUUAAAUAAAUAAAUGUAACAAAUUCUCCAAAAAUAAAAUAAAAAUGGAGGUUCCUGUAUUGACGAGCUUUCACUCCGUUUCUCUCUCCUCCAAAACCGCCUUUUACAUGGAUCGCUGCAGCUUCUUUCGUAAGAGAUUGAAUUGCAAAAGACGUUGUCGUCUUCGAAUUAAAGUGAGCUCAGAGAAGGAUGAUGAUGAUGGUUCAUUGAGUUUUAAAAGCGACGCUGUUAAUUUUUGCGGGGGAGGACAAUCCGGCGAUUUAGUUGAUGUAAUAAGCAUUGGCAGCAGGAAGGACGCCGUUGUUGAUUUCUGUUUCGACUCGCCUUUACAGUUAUCGUCUUCGCUCCUCCGAUUUUGGAAUAUUCAGACCAAAGAUUCCGUGAAUGUUCAGUUGCAAGAAAGGGUUCUUGAAAAAGAUGUUAAUCCAAGGGUUAUGGAAGUUUCGCAAUUUCUAAAGUUCCCUUCAAAGGCCAUUGUCCUUGUGGCUAGUGCAGGAUAUGGCUUGGAACAUAUUACAGCAAUUGAUAUUCUUAAAACAAGGAGGUUUAGGAAUGGAUUUACUGUCGCUAUUUUUCUAAAGCCUUUCAGUUUUGAAGGACAAAGGCGCCAAGAUGAGGUGAAAGAUUUGGUAGGAAAGCUUCAAGAGUAUACAAAUUUCUGUAUUGAUAUUGACACUGAUGCACUCCUAAAAAAGGACUUGGUCACUCUAGAUGAGGCCUUGAAGUCUGCAAACAGUGCUGUUUUAUUGGCCAUAAAUGCCAUCUCUAUUCUUAUCUCGGAGAUGCACCAGAAAAUAAUUGAUGCAGUGCAUAAUAAUGUGAAAGAACUCAAAGUUUCAGAAGUUAUAAAAAUACUGGAGAGCUACAAAGAAGCAAAAAUUGGAUUUGGCACCGGUAACAGCAUUAGAAAUUCAAUUAUAAAGGCUCUAUAUGAUUGCCCUUUCAUUGGUGCUGGUGUUAAGGAAUUAAAUGGAAUUGUUAUAUGCAUCAUUGCAAGUUCAGUUCUUAUGGACGACAAAGAUGUACAUGCCUCUCUGCUUACUUUCCGACGAACAGCAAAUUACACGGGGGAAAUCAUUAUUUGUACAGCUCAUGAGCCUAAUCUGGAGCCCAACAUGCUGGUAACAACAGUUGUUAUUGUAGGCUGUAUUGAGCAGCAGGCUCCUCAGAAAAGUAGCAUAUUCUCCAAACUGGCCCAGCAUUUCCCUUUUGUUUUUAAACUUCUGAGGAUAUCCCACCAAAAACCUUGUGGCAACGAAGGAAGAGAUAUGGAAGAUGCACAGCUAUCGAAGGGGAUAGAUUCACCAGACUCUGGUUUGGUGGAAAAUAUAAGUUCUGCAGAAGGUUUAGUCAAUGGUGUUGACAAGCACUCCAAGGACUCCGAGAGGGUAUCAGGCAGUGAUUAUGUUGACAUUUAUAGUUCAAGGAAUUACAACAAUGGAGUUGAAGAAGAUGGGGUUGGCCUAUUAGAAGAAGAUAUGAUAGAGUCUUCAAAUUUUUACAAUCAAAACAUGGAAGAAACUCCUGCUUUCCAAAGGGAACCACUCAUUAGUAGGAAUAUGGGGCCAGGCUAUCAGAUUGCACAGGAGUGGGCCAAAGAAAGGGCUGGAGCCACUCCAGUGCUUGAUGACAUGAGCAUCUUCCAACUUCCAGUUGGUGUAAGACCUUCAGAAGAGUCGAAAGGCAGUCUGAACAUCUCAUAUGCCACAGAACUCUCAGAACCAAAAACCGAGGAUGAUUUCCAAGGACAGACACUUGUUAAUUCAAAUAUCCCUUCUUGGGGUGAUGCAGGUUUUGUAGCAGUGAGGGAUUUUUAUAAUAAUGCAUCCACACUGUUAAAGGGUAAAAAUCCUGAUGUGCUUAAAAAGCAAGGAAUUCUUUCUGCUCGUGCUGCAUCUAUGCUGGAAGCUGAGCGAGAUUCACCAAAGAAGUGGAGUCCUAUUAUGGAAAUGCAGUACAGGGGAGGCGUCUACAGGGGCCGGUGCCAAGGAGGUCUGCCAGAAGGGAAGGGCCGUCUGAUCCUUCAGGAUAGAAGCAUGUAUGAUGGCAUGUGGCGCUAUGGUAAGAGAUCAGGCCCAGGUACAUUCUACUUCAGCAAUGGGGAUGUAUUCCAGGGAUCAUGGAGGGAUGAUGUAAUGCAUGGCAAGGGCUGGUUUUAUUUUCAUACUGGGGAUCGAUGGUUUGCAAACUUUUGGAAGGGAAAGGCCAAUGGUGAAAGUCGCUUCUAUUCAAAGUUUGGUGAUGUAUUUUUUGGUCAUUUCCAAGAUGGAUGGCGACAUGGCCGCUUCCUUUGUAUUGAUGUUGAUGGAGCAAGGUAUGUUGAGACGUGGGAUGAGGGUGUUCUUGUAAGCCGUGAGCAAUUGGACUCCAGUAAUGGUGGUGGAUAAAGAUGAUGAUGUACUCUUAUAAUUUGAGUUAUACUUCCCGUUGAUUUAUUUUUUAGACUUGCAUGUAAAGCCGUUAUCUGUUUCACUAGGUUUAGAAGGUAUUCGAUAUGUUUGGAAGUUAUUUCCAGAACCUUGCUACAGAAACUCAGCUAUCCAGUGGUGUUCUUCAACGUCCCUCCCCAGCGGCAUGUUCACUAGAAGGUGUAGUUUGUAAAGCAGCUGUGCAUUGAUUUUGUUUUUCCAAUAGCCAUAUUGAUAAAUUCGAAAACAAUGAACAUCUUGUAGAAUGGUUAGUUAUAUAUUCAUCUUAAGAAGACAGCUGACUUCUUAUAAAGCAAGCAGAAAUUAUUCUUCU